AACGAACGCUGGCGGCAGGCUUAACACAUGCAAGUCGAACGCAUCGCAAGAUGAGUGGCAGACGGGUGAGUAACGCGUGGGAACAUACCCUUUUCUACGGAAUAGCUCUGGGAAACUGGAAUUAAUACCGUAUACGCCCUACGGGGGAAAGAUUUAUCGGGGAAGGAUUGGCCCGCGUUGGAUUAGCUAGUUGGUGGGGUAAAGGCCUACCAAGGCGACGAUCCAGAGCUGGUCUGAGAGGAUGAUCAGCCACAUUGGGACUGAGACACGGCCCAAACUCCUACGGGAGGCAGCAGUGGGGAAUAUUGGACAAUGGGCGCAAGCCUGAUCCAGCCAUGCCGCGUGAGUGAUGAAGGCCUUAGGGUUGUAAAGCUCUUUCACCGAUGAAGAUAAUGACGGUAGUCGGAGAAGAAGCCCCGGCUAACUUCGUGCCAGCCGCCGCUGUAAUAC
rnacentral:rRNA from 1 species